rnacentral:rRNA from 1 species
GAUUGGAAAUGGGCGAAGCCUGAUCCAGCCAUCCCGCGUGAGUGAUGAAGGCCUUCGGGUUCNAAAGCUCUUUUAGCGGGGAAGAUAAUGACGGUACCCGCAGAAAAAGCCCCGGCUAACUUCGUGCCAGCAGCCGCGGUAAUACGAAGGGGGCUAGCGUUGUUCGGAUUUACUGGGCGUAAAGGGCGCGUAGGCGGGUCGUUAAGUCGGGGGUGAAAUCCCAGGGCUCAACCCUGGAACUGCCUUCGAUACUGGCGAUCUAGAGUCCGGGAGAGGUGUAUGGAACUCCUAGUGUAGAGGUGGAAUUCGUAGAUAUUAGGAAGAACACCGGUGGCGAAGGCGAUACACUGGCCCGGUACUGACGCUGAUGCGCGAAAGCGUGGGGAGCAAACAGGAUUAGAUACCCUGGUAGUCCACGCCGUAAACUAUGGAAGCCAGCCGUUGGGGGGUUUACCUCUCAGUGGCGCAGCUAACGCAUUAAGCUUCCCGCCUGGGGAGUACGGUCGCAAGACUAAAACUCAAAAGAAUUGACGGA